rnacentral:rRNA from 1 species
GCUAUACAUGCAGUCGAGCGAAUCGGAGGGAGCUUGCUCCCAAAGAUUAGCGGCGGACGGGUGAGUAACACGUGGGCAACCUGCCUGUAAGACUGGGAUAACUUCGGGAAACCGGAGCUAAUACCGGAUAAUCCUUUCCCUCACAUGAGGGAAAGCUGAAAGACGGUUUCGGCUGUCACUUACAGAUGGGCCCGCGGCGCAUUAGCUAGUUGGUGAGGUAACGGCUCACCAAGGCGACGAUGCGUAGCCGACCUGAGAGGGUGAUCGGCCACACUGGGACUGAGACACGGCCCAGACUCCUACGGGAGGCAGCAGUAGGGAAUCUUCCGCAAUGGACGAAAGUCUGACGGAGCAACGCCGCGUGAGCGAAGAAGGCCUUCGGGUCGUAAAGCUCUGUUGUCAGGGAAGAACAAGUGCCGGAGUAACUGCCGGCACCUUGACGGUACCUGACCAGAAAGCCACGGCUAACUACGUGCCAGCAGCCGCGGUAAUACGUAGGUGGCAAGCGUUGUCCGGAAUUAUUGGGCGUAAAGCGCGCGCAGGCGGUCCUUUAAGUCUGAUGUGAAAGCCCACGGCUCAACCGUGGAGGGUCAUUGGAAACUGGGGGACUUGAGUGCAGAAGAGGAGAGUGGAAUUCCACGUGUAGCGGUGAAAUGCGUAGAGAUGUGGAGGAACACCAGUGGCGAAGGCGACUCUCUGGUCUGUAACUGACGCUGAGGCGCGAAAGCGUGGGGAGCGAACAGGAUUAGAUACCCUGGUAGUCCACGCCGUAAACGAUGAGUGCUAAGUGGUUAGAGGGUUUCCGCCCUUUAGUGCUGCAGCAAACGCAUUAAGCACUCCGCCUGGGGGAGUACGGCCGCAAGGCUGAAACUCAAAGGAAUUGACGGGGGCCCGCACAAGCGGUGGAGCAUGUGGUUUAAUUCGAAGCAACGCGAAGAACCUUACCAGGUCUUGACAUCCUCUGACAACCCUAGAAGAUAGGGCGUUCCCCUUCGGGGGACAGAAUGACAGGUGGGUGCAUGGUUGUCGUCAGCUCCUGUCCUGAGAAGUUGGGGUUAAAUCCCGCAACCAAGCGCAACCCUUGAUCUUAUUUGCCACCAUUCAGUUGGGCACUCUAAGGGAAUGGCCGGGGACAACCCGAAGAA